GUCUUCCUGGUGUUUAUGAUGGACUUUAUUAUUACACUGACUAUUCUAUACAGAAAGAGGAAAUGCACUGACUCUACCCUCAAUCUAUCUCAGCACAGGCCUGACACCCAGUCUGUAUUAUGAAGGAGGAGUAAUGG
ensembl:snoRNA